rnacentral:rRNA from 1 species
GGGUUGUGAGGUUAAGCGACUAAGCGUACACGGUGGAUGCCCUGGCAGUCAGAGGCGAUGAAGGACGUGCUAAUCUGCGAUAAGCGUCGGUAAGGUGAUAUGAACCGUUAUAACCGGCGAUUUCCGAAUGGGGAAACCCAGUGUGUUUCGACACACUAUCAUUAACUGAAUCCAUAGGUUAAUGAGGCGAACCGGGGGAACUGAAACAUCUAAGUACCCCGAGGAAAAGAAAUCAACCGAGAUUCCCCCAGUAGCGGCGAGCGAACGGGGAGCCCGGCAUUCGAAUCCGCAGGUGUUAGUGGAAAGGUUCGAAAGGCGCGCGAUACAGGUGACAUUCCGCACAAAACAUGCUGUAUUCAUGAGCAGGGCGGGACACGUGGUAUCCUGUCUGAAUAUGGGGACCAUCCUCCAAGCAAAUACCCUGACCGACCGACAGCGCGAAACCAGUACCGUGAGGAAAGGCGGCGCGAACCCCGCGAGGGGAGCAGCAAGAACCCGGUAAGCAAUGCAAUGCCAGUGGGAGCCUUUAUGGGUGAUCGGUACCUUUGUGGUACGUAUCAGCGACUUAUAUUCUGUAGCAAGUUGCUAACCGAAUAGGAGCCGAAGGGAAACUGAGUCUUAACUAAGGUUGUUGCAGGUAUAGACCCGAAACCCGGGUGAUUCAGCCACGGCAGGUUGAAGGUUGCAACACUAACUGAGGACCGAACCGACCAAUGCUGAAAAAAUUCAGCGGAUGACCGGUGGCUGGGGGUGAAAGGCCAAUCAAACCGGGAGAUAGCUGGUUCUCCCCGAAAGCUAUUUAGGUAGCGCCUCGUGAAUUCAUCUCCGGGGGUAGAGCACUGUUUCGGCAAGGGGGUCAUCCCGACUUACCAACCCGAUGCAAACUGCGAAUACCGGAGAAUGUUAUCACGGGAGACACACGGCGGGUGCUAACGUCCGUCGUGAAGAGGGAAACAACCCAGACCGCCAGCUAAGGUCCCAAAGUCAGCGGUUAAGGGAAACGUGGAAGGCCCAGACAGCCGAUAAGCUACUUAGAAGCAGCCAAUACUUCAAAGAAAGCGUAACAGCUCACCAAUUAUCGGCCUGCGCAGAAGAUGUAACGGGGCUAAACCAUACACCGAAGCUGCGGCAGCGACGCUUAUGCGUUGUUGGCUAGGGGAGCGUUCUGUAAGCCUGCGAAGGUGUACUGUGAGGUAUGCUGGAGGUAUCAGAAGUGCGAAUGCUGACAUAAGUAACGAUGUUGGUGCGCCCGCCCGCCGGAAGACCAAGGGUUCCUGUCCAACGUUAAUCAGGGCAGGGUGAGUCGACCCCUAAGGCGAGGCCGAAAGGCGUAGUCGAUGGGAAACAGGUUAAUAUUCCUGUACUUGGUGUUACUGCGAAGGGGGGACGGAGAAGUUAAGGUUGGUCAAGGACGGCUGUCCCGGUUGCCAGGCUGGUUUUCCAAAAGUAAAUCCGGAAAAUCAUCAAGGCUGAGGCGUGAUGACGAGUAAGACUACGGUGCUGAAGCAACAAAUGCCCUCGCUUCCGUGAAAGUUCUACAUCAGGUAACAUCAAAUCAAAAUUCCCCAAACCAAUACAGGUGGUCAGGUAGAGAAUACCUAGGCGCUUGAGAGAACUCGGCUGAAGGAACUAGGCAAAAUGGUGCCGUAACUUCGGGAGAAGGCACGCUGAUAUGUAGGUGAAGUCCCUCGCGGAUGGAGCUGAAAUCAGUCGAAGAUACCAGCUGGCUGCAACUGUUUAUUAAAAACACAGCACUGUGCAAACACGAAAGUGGACGUAUACGGUGUGACGCCUGCCCGGUGCCGGAAGGUUAAUUGAUGGGGUUAGCGCAAGCGAAGCUCUUGAUCGAAGCCCCGGUAAACGGCGGCCGUAACUAUAACGGUCCUAAGGUAGCGAAAUUCCUUGUCGGGUAAGUUCCGACCUGCACGAAUGGCGUAAUGAUGGCCAGGCUGUCUCCACCCGAGACUCAGUGAAAUUGAACUCGCUGUGAAGAUGCAGUGUACCCGCGGCAAGACGGAAAGACCCCGUGAACCUUUACUAUAGCUUGACACUGAACAUUGAGCCUUGAUGUGUAGGAUAGGUGGGAGGCUUUGAAGUGUGGACGCCAGUCUGCAUGGAGCCGACCUUGAAAUACCACCCUUUAAUGUUUGAUGUUCUAACGUUGACCGCCGUGACAGGUCUGUGCGGGUAGUUUGACUGAAGUGGUCUCCCCAAAGAGUAAACGGAGGAGCACGAAGGUUGGCUAAUCCUGGUCGGACAUCAGGAGGUUAGUGCAAUGGCAUAAGCCAGCUUGACUGCGAGCGUGACGUCGCGAGCAGGUGCGAAAGCAGGUCAUAGUGAUCCGGUGGUUCUGAAUGGAAGGGCCAUCGCUCAACGGAUAAAAGGUACUCCGGGGAUAACAGUCUGAUACCGCCCAAGAGUUCAUAUCGACGGCGGUGUUUGGCACCUCGAUGUCGGCUCAUCACAUCCUGGGGCUGAAGUAGGUCCUAAGGGUAUGGCUGUUCGCCAUUUAAAGUGGUACGCGAGCUGGGUUUAGAACGUCGUGAGACAGUCUGGUCCCCAUUCGCCGUGGGGCUGGAGAACUGAGGGGCUGCCCUAGUAAUGAGAGGACCGGAGUGACGCAUCACUGGUGUUCGGCUAUUGCGCUACCGGCAACUGCCCAGCUAAACGAAGAGAUAAGUGUUGAAAGCAUCUGCUAACGAACUUGCCUGAGAUGAGUUCUCCCUGACUCCUUGAGAGUCCUGAAGGAACGUUGAAGACGACGACGUUGAUAGGCCGGGUGUGUAAGCGCAGCGAUGCGUUGAGCUAACCGGUACUAAUGAACCGUGAGGCUUAACCUUACAACGCCGAAG